UACGUAGGGUGCAAGCGUUGUCCGGAAUUAUUGGGCGUAAAGAGCGUGUAGGCGGCCCGGUUAGUCCGCUGUGAAAGUCCAGGGCUCAACCCUGGAAUGCCGGUGGAUACUGUCGGGCUAGAGUCCGGAAGGGGCGAGUGGAAUUCCUGGUGUAGCGGUGAAAUGCGCAGAUAUCAGGAGGAACACCAAUGGCGAAGGCAGCUCGCUGGGACGUGACUGACGCUGAGACGCGAAAGCGUGGGGGAGCAAACAGG
rnacentral:rRNA from 1 species